AGGCACCCACAUGCACACAUCCACACAAGCAUGUGUGUACAGAGCCACCCGCAUGCACACACACAUGCGCGCACGCACACACACAAAAUCUAGAGAAUAUGGUGGUGUCAGCAAUAUCUGAGAUUUACACCAUUCACAGCUAUAAUAAUAAUCUUUAGCAACUGCUUUGUUUUGUAAACCAGAUGAAGAACUUACGGAGGACAGCCUAUGGGUGCCUUUUUAUUCGUGACUUUAGUGAGAUCCCAACACUACACAUGACCUUUUCUCGGAAGUGAAGAAAAGAAACAGCAUGGGGGAAAUUCUGUGAGGAAGAAGUUCGAUGUUUCUCUUUCCAACAGGUGUGCCUCCCUUCUCCCCAGUUCACACAAUCAUGGAAGUCAUGGAAGUCCUGGAAGUGCAAUUACAGGGCCCUGCUCUCCAGCAUCACCAACGGCUGCCCUGUCACACACGAGGAAAGUCUGCAUUCUUUCUGUGACUGCUGAGACCUCAUCCCCUCCAGCCCUCGAGGUAUGAGUGUUUUUCUUUCAUAUAUAUAUGUAUAUAUACAUAUAUAUGUAUACACACACACAC